rnacentral:rRNA from 1 species
GAUGAACGCUGGCGGCGUGCCUAAUACAUGCAAGUCGAGCGAACAGACGAGGAUCUUGCUCCUCUGACGUUAGCGGCGGACGGGUGAUGAACACGUGGAUAACCUACCUAUAAGACUGGGAUAACUUCGGGAAACCGGAUCUAAUACCGGAUAAGAUAUUGAACCGCAUGGUUCAAUAGUGAAAGACGUUUUUGCUGUCACUUAUAGAUGUAUCCAGGCCGCAUUAGCUAGUUGGUAAGGUAACGGCGUACCAAGGCGACGAUGCGUAGCCGACCUGAGAGGAUGAUCAGUCACACGGGAACUGAGACACGGUCCAGACUCCUACGGGAGGCAGCAGGGGGUAAGAUUGGACAAUGGGCGAAAGCCUGAGCCAGCCAUGUCGCGUGUGUGAAGAAGGUCUUCGGAUGGUAAAGCACUUUAAGGUGGGAGGAAGGGCAGUAAGUUAAUACCUUGCUGUUUUGACGUUACCAACACAAUAAGCUCCGGCUAACUUCGUG